CUUUUUUCUUUCAGUGCUUCUGAAUUCACCCCUCGAGUGCAGGCCUCUGUCCGAGGAACCAAAAUCCAAAACCAUUUCAUGGGCCAGUGCCUGGGUGGUUACAACGAGACCUUUUUGCCUCUGAAAGGCUAACGUGUGGCCACUCAAGAAAAACAUCCUGCAUCUUCAUUUUGUAUAUAUACUAGAACCUAGUACUCCUCUGCAAACCCCUUGAAGGUCCCGGGCCCCAUGCAGUUUGAAAACCUCUGCAGAAAGGCUGGACUCGGAGCCGAGCAUCUGUGCUGCGUUUUUGCCUUCAGCAAUGGGAAUGACGGCAGAGGUUGUGUUUACGUCUGGUCUGAGCACUUGUCAGGCGAUGAACGCUGCAGUGGAGGAGAUGGAUGUCAUGUUGGGGCCAAUGUGUUGGACAGGGAGUGAUAAUAAAGCGUAAUUCGAUGGCUGUGGAGCCGAGCGUUGAGUUGUGCCUGGAGCGGG
rnacentral:lncRNA from 1 species